UACAUUAUUGCCCUCUGAUAUUUUCCUUUGCGUUUUGUUCUUGUGUGUUUGUGUUUGGUUCAUCGGUUCUCCGACUUUCACUCAUUCAUGUUCUGGUUAGGGCUAGGUCCUCCGGCUUUUGCUCUCUAAAUUGGUACUUCGUUUCCGGAUUUCACUGUAUUUUUGUACUUUUUGAACCGAUUAAUCUGUCCAACCUCAUCAUCACGGCACUGUUGUUACGGCACUGUGCAAAUAGUUGCCCACAUCAAUACCGGAAAUCCAGGUCCUUGAACGGCGCCGAAUAAAAUUUCCAUUGCCCUCUAUUUCUUUCACACAAUCACUAUCUAUCUUCCUCUUGCUUGCCACAUUUGUUUUCCUCAACGCACUACGCUAGCCAGACCUCAAGAUGCCAAUCCGAAGUUGGGCGGAUUUGUUCAGCUUUUCAAUCUGAAACCACUAUUGUAAUUGUUAUUUCAAGCUUCAAACCAAACGCAGGAUUUGUCAUGGCUUAAUUACUGUGUUGGUUAGGGCUACAACAAAGCAGCUUCGUGAUUCGGUGGUUUAAAUUUGCUAUGGCUAUGAGGAUUGAAGAUCAGUUGGCUUCUACUUGCCACAAUUUUGUGCAUAUUCUACGCGUUCGAGAUGGAUACUUUCUUAUCAAUGAAAGGAACAAAGGUACAAAAGUGGGACAAGCAAUGCGUGAGGAUCAUAGCAUACGGUAUUCCGCUGAUUGGACUUUCAUCAAGAGGUACUCAGGUGCUCGGAUUGGAGAGGUGAAGAGGGUUACAAAAGAGACCAAUGUAGCAAUGAGACUAAACUUGGAUGGUUCGGGCAUAGCUGAUACACUGGGAUCCUUUUUCUUGACCACAUGUCGUUGGACGUCAAUAUCUCUCUCAUGAAUGACUUUUUUCUUUUUGAUCCGCUCUCAUGAAUGACUAUUUUCAAUUUCUAUGGUGAUGUCUGUUUUGAUGAUAUAUUUUUUUCCUGAGAGUUUUGAACUUUUAACUCUAUUUCAGUGGCAGGAUGCAUUCUUUAGGCAAUUUAAGUAAGUUGCAAACAUAAUUGUCAAAGGUGCGCCUAGACACAAGGUGAGGCGAUCUGAAAAAAGCAAGCAAAAAGUGACAAGGUGAGAAAAGCAAGCUUCUUUCAAAUAAAUCAAAAAAGCGCACUUUUUUCCAAAAAAACGCAUGAAAAACGAGGUUUUUUUUUCUUUCCAAAAAAGUGCACAUUACACAAUUAUUUUCAGAAAUAAUUUAUUUUUCCGCAUAGGUGCGCCUCUCUUCAAAUAGGCAUGCGCCUCACCUUGCUCCUCUCGCCCUAGGCCCAAUAAAACUUUGCUCCUUGGUGCGCCUUUCGUCCUUGACAACUAUGGUUGCAGAUAUUAAUUUCCACAGGAUAAGUGAAGGAUAAUGCUAUAUUUGGUUGUUUAGAAAGUUUAGGAGGGAGCUAAGAGAAGAUACAUUUCCAUUCAAUGUAGCCUUAUUCAAAGAUUUGGUCUAAAAUGUCUCCGACCCAGUCAUGUCCUCGUUGCUGAGGAUUUAGAAUCAACUUGCUUAGCAUGGGUUAUUUGACGUUCAUGUAAAGGCUACUGGUGACAUUCAUAUUGAUGACCAUCACACAAAUGAAGAUGUUGCCAUUGACAUUGGAACGGUACUUGAAAACUGGAAAGCAGCGCACUCAUACAUGUAUACGAGUUCGAGUCUUAGAACUUAACUUUUUGGUUCAUCCAGGCUUUGCAACACGGACUUGGUGAUAGAAAAGGAAUUAACCAGAUUGCUUAAAGAGCUUGUAUUGAACCAACCUGAAGCAUACGAGAUUAAGAUAGGAGAUCAAGUUUUUCGACGACGAGGAAAUCCUCCUUUUGAACUACUUCUCGAGAAGCACCAAAAUGACACAGACAGUGGAUAAUGCCAGUCCCAUAGAGGACAAUGGAUACCAGAAAGAUGAGUUGUAGAUUGCUUGAAAUCCUUUUAGCAUCCAAAUCAAGAGAUCUGAAGGAUUAUUUUGUGCAGUUCAUCUUUUUGAUAAUACUGGUUUUCAUUCCUUUCUAAUCAUCGUCAUGAAAUCGAUACUUCAAUUUCAAGAGUUUCUUAGAGAGUAUUAAGUCAUUGGAUUUUGUUUCUGUGUUCUGGUCUUCGUUAAGUAUGGCUCCAUUCGGUCCAUUUGAUUAUUUUUCAAAUUAUAUUUCUAUAAUGGAAUAGUUCAUGUGUAGUCAUAUAAAUAGAUUACAUUAUGAUUCAUUAUAUUUCAAUAAGCUCUUGCUAUUUUUCUAUUAUCAUCACUGCAAAACC